UUAUGGUUAACUUUCUAUACAGUAGUUAUAGAAAGCAAAAUAAAAGAAAAAAACAACUAUAGAUUCCAUCAUCCAGACAUGUACAGUAAAUUGAUCCAUUUUUUAGCCUUGUAAUGACCAUAUUCAUAUUGUUCAAGUAUGUCAAAUUUUUGUUCUAAUGCAAUGAGCCUCUUCUUUUUAAAACUUGUACUGUUUCCUCUGAUGGAAUUUACUUUUUCACCAUUUUACACACAAGAUUAACACAUUAAAAACCCAAUUGCAGCAGCGUAUGCACUAGCCAUAGUUCCCCACUCGCAUUAACCAAAUUUUGGGUCAUGUUAAACGCACCCGGUGUCAAUUUACGAUUCACACUACAUCAAAUAUUGCAUUAUUUGAACUUGCGCUAAUUGUGACCUACCUGUACUUCAGUCUCCCUGCCGAUCUAAAUUUUCCAGACAGUCUCCAAACCUGAGAGAAAGCCUUUUCUCUCUCAAGGAUGGCUUUAACAGGUACCCAGAGGAGAUUCCUCUCCCCUUCCCCUCUUAGAUAGAAAGUGGUCUCUUCUGAAUCAGAAGCUAAAGAGGCAAGUCGGAUGGACUGUUGGCCAGAGGAACCCGGUGACCAGGAACCUAAGCAACUUCAGAUUGAGUCAAGUAAUGGAGCACCGUGAUGACAGCUAUGGAGUCAGAACAGAGAUAAUCUGCUCUGAAGAGGUAAACAUUGUGGCAGAAGAGGGCAGCCAUGGACCUAGUCAAACCACAGCAGUGACUGGCAUUAUGGAAGACCAGUCUUAGCAUUUAACCUUCCACCACCUCUCCAACUCCAGACUUGGAUUCCUGUUGCUCCUGUCCCUUGGCCUUCAUUUGGACCAGCUCAUGGAAUUCUCAGAGGUUACAAUCUCGAGAGUUCUCUUAGGAAGGUUGUGACAUAACAGUUAAAAUUUUCAAACUGUAUUUGACUAGUGUUCUUUCUGCGUCAACUGCCACAGGACAAAAUGGCUAUUCUUUUAAAGAUAAAGGCAGAAUUCCAGGAAUAUGGAGGAAGACAUUUCUAUGCCUGAAUUGAGAAACAUGUAAUGCAUCUUCUUCCCGACAACUCUGGUGCAUUGGAAAAAACAAUCCGUAACUGAAUGAAGUCUCUUAAGGAACAAAUAUGAGGAAGAAGACCAAAUAACAGACGGGACCUUCAAAUGGCAUAGGACAAUUCUUGCUUACCGUAAUGAGUUUUGCUGCUGCUUUUGCGGAGGUUUUAAAUGCUGCUUUUUGGAUUUCUUGAAGGACGAGAACAGAGAAGCAAACGGUGUUUUCAAUCCUUCUAGUAUGGAAGUAGAUCCAGGCUUCUGGGCUUGUGGGACUUCCAAAGCAGAACCCUUUGUGUUUGCAGAAUCUGAAAGAAGAAAAACUAAUGUUUAUAAAAGAUGCGGCCAUAUAUUGUACAAAACA